GUGGGGAAUAUUGGACAAUGGGCGCAAGCCUGAUCCAGCCAUGCCGCGUGAGUGAAGAAGGCCUUAGGGUUGUAAAACUCUUUCAGCGGGGAAGAUAAUGACGGUACCCGCAGAAGAAGCCCCGGCUAACUCCGUGCCAGCAGCCGCGGUAAUACGGAGGGGGCUAGCGUUGUUCGGAAUUACUGGGCGUAAAGCGCGCGUAGGCGGUCCGCGUAGUCAGGCGUGAAAGCCCCGGGCUCAACCUGGGAACUGCGUUUGAUACUGGCGGACUAGAGUCCGGGAGAGGGUAGUGGAAUUCCCAGUGUAGAGGUGAAAUUCGUAGAUAUUGGGAAGAACACCAGUGGCGAAGGCGGCUACCUGGACCGGUACUGACGCUGAGGUGCGAAAGCGUGGGGAGCAAACAGG
rnacentral:rRNA from 1 species